rnacentral:tRNA from 1 species
GGAUAGCUCAGUUGGUUUACAGCAUGGUGCUGAUAACACCAAGGCUGCAGGUUCGAUUCCCCAUAUGGGACG